AGACUGAACGCUAGCGGGAUGCUUUACACAUGCAAGUCGAACGGCAGCGCGGACUUCGGUCUGGCGGCGAGUGGCGAACGGGUGAGUAAUAUAUCGGAACGUGCCCAGUAGCGGGGGAUAACUACGCGAAAGCGUGGCUAAUACCGCAUACGCCCUACGGGGGAAAGGGGGGAUCGCAAGACCUCUCACUAUUGGAGCGGCCGAUAUCAGAUUAGCUAGUUGGUGAGGUAAAGGCUCACCAAGGCGACGAUCUGUAGCUGGUUUGAGAGGACGACCAGCCACACUGGGACUGAGACACGGCCCAGACUCCGUACGGGAGCAGCAGUGGGGAAUUUUGGACAAGUGGGGGAAACCCUGAUCCAGCCA
rnacentral:rRNA from 1 species